GCUCUGAGCGGAGGCGGCUGUAGAAAGGACGCCAUCUAGUGGCUCGGUGGGGGAGAGGCAAGGCAUGAUCAUGGAGCGGAGACGCUGUUGGAACAAAGAGACUUGUGCGGUCCGGUGGCGCCUUUAAAAAAAAAAAUCAAUGCUUUUUUUUUCGGCACCGGCUUUUCGAGGACUUUUACCUCUUCUUCAGAGGUGUCGUCUGAAGGGGAGAAAGCUUAGGGCCGCCGCCGUAAAAUUUGCAAGUUUUAGGGGUGCGACAGGGCUCUGGGUUGGCUUGGCUUGGCCGCAACAGGGCUGCCUCCUUGGGAAAGGCGCCUUGUGUGGCGGCAUGUUUUAUUGGCCUCCAGCUUUCGCGGGCCACAGGACACUUCGUCAGCCAAAAGAAACGUCUUUAUCUUUUAAGUGUCACAGAACGCUUGUCUGCUGUGAAACCGUCAAUUGAUGCAGAUUAAUACAUUUCACACCUUUGAGGGAAAUGACCAGGGCAACUUUCCAUUAAAAAUCAAAGAGAAAUCAAUAUUGUAUUCUGCCGGGAGCUGCUUCGAGGAAAUAAAAUCUACAAGCUUUAAAAAUGAAUAAAUUAUUGGCUUAUAGGCCAAUGCAAGAGAACCGGUCAGCCGUUCUGCCCAAGAUGAUUGUGUCUCAUGUUAUCCUCCCCGCAACCCUGCGAGACAUGAAUAUGUAUUUCCCCACCUCACGCGCCUGGCUGUGUAUAACUUUUUGCGGCAGCCCACGAGGCCAGGACUCAGAAAAAUGCAGAGAUUUCUGAAGCAAGAUCCUGUCCAGUUCAUCCCGCUGUCUGUCUUGGGAGGCAGGUAUUUUUCACUGGGGAGCGAGAGCCUCCCCCAAAAUCUUGUCCAUCCCCAGGGGGUUUCCACUCUUGAA